rnacentral:tRNA from 1 species
GCGGGUGUAGUUCAAUGGUAGAACGUCAGCCUUCCAAGCUGAUCGCGAGAGUUCGAUUCUCUUCACCCGCUCCA